GAUGAACGCUGGCGGCGUGCCUAAUACAUGCAAGUCGAGCGAACCACUUCGGUGGGAAGCGGCGAACGGGUGAGUAACACGUAGGUGAUCUGCCCAUCAGACGGGGACAACGAUUGGAAACGAUCGCUAAUACCGGAUAGGACGAAAGUUUAAAGAUGCUCCUGGCAUCACUGAUGGAUGAGCCUGCGGCGCAUUAGCUAGUUGGUGGGGUAAAGGCCUACCAAGGCGACGAUGCGUAGCCGACCUGAGAGGGUGAACGGCCACACUGGGACUGAGACACGGCCCAG
rnacentral:rRNA from 1 species